rnacentral:lncRNA from 1 species
CUAAGAUGUGUUCUGUCUUUACUGAGCUGAGCAGAGCCUCUUCAUUGGAUUUCUAUCCAUUUGAAGAGAGCAAACCGUUAGAAGAGCUCAAAUAUUGAUAUUUCCUCUAUCUCUAAGUGAUUCCUUGAAAGUAUCAUUUUUCUUCCUUUCCUUUCCAUUUCCUCCUAAAAGCAUGUAAAAAAUAUGAAUGCUAAUUCGAAUACAAUUAUCCUUAUGAUGGAUCAGUUUACUGGAUGUGCCAAAUAGAUGCUUAUCAUCAGAAUGAUCUGGCAUCAGCAUAAUCAACUAUUUGUAGGAAAAACAUGAGAGAGAGGAAGACAGGUGAGCCAACACACCAGUUAGAAUGUACACGUACACUGAAUUUGGACACGCUCCAUACUCUUCUUCACUCAGGUAUCCAUCAGAGUGCUCACCUUGUCAGUGGCUGUUGCUGUAAGUAUGUGUCUUACAUCCAGCGUCUUCUCUAGGUUUCAGAUGCAAUGAGGUGUUUCCAGGCUCUGCUACUCAGUUAAGUCCCACAAUGCUGAUAGGGCUAUUGGAACAGUCAAUCAAAGUAAAAGAAAAGAGAAAAAGUGAUGGGAAUCAGAAGCAAAGAGACAUGCCCAAAGGCAAAGAGCUCUGUAGAGGUGGUGGAUUUGGACUUGUGGCACGUUAUUCAAAUAUCUUCUUCCCACGGGCCCCCCAAAUUAUUUGUACAAAAGACCUUUCGACCCAUCAAGGAGAGGUCCCUGCAAGCUUUGCUCUUCUGAAAGACAGUGCAGCAUGGUGCUUCACAGCAUGAGCUUUGGAGUUAAGCCAACUUCAGUUGUAAUCCUGGAUCCACCAUUUACUAGAGCAUGGUCUAAUAAACAGAGAAGGCUCAGGAGGGUCAGAAACACGGUGCCUCAUUUCUCAGCCUACUUGCCAAGAAUUCCCAAAAAGGAAGCACUGGAGGAUCAUUCCAAGGCUUGAGGUCCAGGACUACCCACUUCCCUUGGAAUGGUGUUGCCAUCACUGUUCUGGCACCGGAGAAAGGAUUCUACAUCGUUAGGAGAAAAGAAAAAGGAGAAUUUGGGCUUGCACUGAGAGGAUUACCUUUGGUGGUCUGGAAGUGGUGAUUGGUGAUAAUGAAACCUACCUUGCUGUUUCAUGUUGAGGAAUCACUGUGAGAAGGGGUUGCAGCAUUGAAGGCACCAUCUUGGAAGCAGAGACUAGACCCUCACCAAGCAAUUAACAUGCUGGUGCAUUGAUCUUGGACUUUCCAGCCUCCAGAACUGUGAGAAAUAAAUUUCUGUUCUUAAUUAAUUACCCAGUCCCAGGUAUUCUGUUAUAGCAGCACAAAGCUUAGACGGGCUCCUUACAUCUUGAGGCUCCAUUAUCUCCUGGGAACUGGGAGUCCUUAGGUUCUAGCCAUGGAAAGAGAAACAAAAGAUGGAGAAGGCACACAUGCUUCUUAAUGGUCGUGGUUCAGAAGUAACAAAUACUAAUUCUAUAUAUUCUACUGGCUCAACACAAAUGCAGGGGUGUGCUGGGAAUGGAGUCUCUGAUUGGGCAGCAGGGAUCAGGGAUCAAAGAUCAGGAAAUAUUCCAGGGUGAAUAUUUUACUAGGUGAGGAGGACCAUGAAUUUUGACAAACAGCCUUUGCUGCUCUACCCACUCCUCAUCAUCACUGUUAGACACAAAGAGAAAUGGCAGCACUUUUUGUCCAUUGAUUGUAACUCUUUCUUUAAAGACUUUUAAGGCAGAAUCUCAAUUCAUCUCUUCUAUGAAACUUUCAUGAUUCAAAGGGAAGUCCCUGCAUGGACACUGCCAGCUUCAUUGCACUUCUGCCUCUAUGCUUUUUCCUGAACCUUCUCCACCUCUGGAACGUACUUCAGGCUGCACAGGGAGCAUGGCUGGGAGGCCUCAGGAAACUGACAAUCAUCAGUAGAAGAUGAAGAGGAAGGAGGCGCAUCUUACAUGGCCAGAGAAGGAGGAAGAAUAAGAAGGGGAGAGUGCAGAGAGGAGGCGAGACCAAGCCUGCCCAGAGUUGGAGUCUUGAGACGUGAGAUUCUCCAGCUGGAGCCCUAUAAAUUGGACUGACAAAAGACAGAUUAGCAAGAGAAAUGCAAGCAGCAGUUUAUUAACAUGUGCAUCAUGAUUACACAUGGAAGUACCCAGAGGUCAUAAGACCUCAUGUGACAAGUGCCCUCCUUACUCCCAGAGAAAAGGAAGGAAGACACAGAAACACCACGAAGAAUAUGGACAAACAGACCUUGCUAAGUUCCCCCCCAUUUAUUACCAUGACAUCAUACUCCCUUUGUCCAAUCACACUUUCAUCAAACCUGAGCAUGAAAAUACACAGGUUUCUCUGUUUGGGGGGUGGGUCUUCAUUUUUGAAGUUUCCAUGUCAUGUAAAACUUAUAUUAAAGAAAUGUGUAUGUUUUACCCUUGUUAAUUU